rnacentral:rRNA from 1 species
AGGAUGAACGCUGGCGGCGUGCUUAACACAUGCAAGUCGAACGGUGAAGCAGGAGCUUGCUCUUGCGGAUCAGUGGCGAACGGGUGAGUAACACGUGAGUAACCUGCCCUUGACUCUGGGAUAAGCGUUGGAAACGACGUCUAAUACCGGAUACGACCUCCGAAGGCAUCUUCUGGAGGUGGAAAGAACUUCGGUCAAGGAUGGACUCGCGGCCUAUCAGCUAGUUGGUGAGGUAAUGGCCCACCAAGGCGACGACGGGUAGCCGGCCUGAGAGGGUGACCGGCCACACUGGGACUGAGACACGGCCCAGACUCCUACGGGAGGCAGCAGUGGGGAAUAUUGCACAAUGGGCGCAAGCCUGAUGCAGCAACGCCGCGUGAGGGACGACGGCCUUCGGGUUGUAAACCUCUUUAGUAGGGAAGAAGCGAAGUGACGGUACCUGCAGAAAAGCACCGGCUAACUACGUGCCAGCAGCCGCGGU